rnacentral:lncRNA from 1 species
UACUUCCAUCGGCACUAGUCCUCUUCAUUUUGCGUAAGCUACCUCCAAAGAGAGUAUCAGCUCAAUACCAUCCGAUCCAGUAAACUCUUUUUUUUUUAAACCUGAAGCCAUCACACGGUGAGUCUGAUGAUGUUGCAAGAGAUUGUAAAGAUUCAGUUAAGAAAAUAUGGUCAGGACAAAGAAGUUAUAAGAUUCGCUGGCUGAUGUUCGAUCGUUCUGUUAUGUUUGGUUGGAAAUAAUAACCAAUUGUUUACUUUUUUUUGGUUUAUUGUCAAAUCUCAGAUGAUACAACCGAAUAGAGCAUUGGGUAUCGAAUGGGCUGUUAAAUAACUAAAUGGGCCUUGGGCCGAAUUAAUCAAAGGCCAUGUCUCUGUUUUAUUCUCUAUUUAAAUAAACGAUUUACAGUCACAAACAAACAUAAAUCGAAAGACCUAAACUUUGUUUUGCUCCUCAUCGAGGUCGUCGAUUCUCUCUCGUAUUCGUCUCUCUUUUCUGUGAGUUUAGUUUGUUUAAAAACUUGUAAAAAGUACGAAACUUUCGUAUGAAUUCGCAGGCUGCGAUACUAAACCAAUGUGUCACGCUUGUUUUGAAUCACUUUGGUUAUCGAAUCAUCAGCAGUUUCAGUUCAUAACAAAAAAAAAAAAAACCUUCAUAUUGAUGUUUCUCGUUUUGUGGAAUUAUGUUAAGCAUGAAUUAGACUAAACUUGAACUUGAAUGUGUGGUGUUUAUAGAGUAGGUUUGUGAAAAUUCUCUGCAGCUAGCUUUGUCUUCUUUCUUUGCUUUAGCUAAGCUUUCUGUGUAGAAAUAUUUUAUCAGAUGAGGAGGAAACUGAACAUGCUUGUAUUUGACAGUUAAUAAUCUUACAAGAAAAUCAAUUUGUCACUGAUGGACCAUCCCAUGGACUCGUCUGCUGAAGAGGUAAUAGUGUUCGUCUGCUUAUACAUUCAAUGGUUUAUAGGUUACAUUGUGUUAUAACACUAGCCUAAGUUAUUUACUGAAGUUAUUGCUGUUUUAUGUCUUGCAAAGAACAUUGUGGAAGAGAGUCAUAAGCUGGUUGACUCAUUGGACAAGCUUAGUGUCAGUGCUGCGAGCUCUUCCUCCAAUUUCAAGAAGAAGCCUGUCAUUAUCAUUGUUGUUGGAAUGGCUGGUAAGCAGUGUUCUUGAAUCCUCAAUGUUAUAGGUUUUAGUGUUUGAGGGAUAUCAUCAAUAGUUGCAUGUGGGCUUUUUUCUUCUUCUUAUGUUAUGCGUAGGCAGUGGAAAGACCAUCAAAUCAUCGAGAUUAGCCUUUGUAAUUUAGAUGGUAUUAAAUUGCAGGUUGGAUCUGUGACAGCCAUAUGCUUCACCUGCUUCCUCAUAAGAUGCAUAGUGGUAAGCUCUGAGAUAUAGAAUCUAAAGAAUGAAAUCUUUAUCAUCAGUUAUGAUGAUGAGUGUUUUUAAAAAUGUUUCUUUCUUGCACAACGAUUCAGGUGGGUGUGUCAGCAUUUGACAGGGAUUUAACUCUGGAUGUGCUUGAUCACCCUGUUCUGAACUUAAUCUACUAUAUGGUAAGUAACUAAGACCGUCAUUAAUUCUCUCCCUCAGUAAUCUUUGUUUCUGGUUUCUUCGCUAACUGGGAAAAAUAUAAUAAUACGUAGGUGGUAGAAGUACUUCCAUCCUCACUAGUCCUCUUCAUUUUGCGUAAGCUACCUCCAAAGAGAGUAUCAGCUCAAUACCAUUCGAUCCAGUAGACUUUUUUUUUGUCUGAAGCUAUCACACGAUGAUGUUGCAAGAGAGAGUAAAGAUUCAGUCAUGAAAAGAAGUUUUAAGAUUCGCUGGCGGAUGUUUGAUUGUUACGUUAUGUUAUCUUUGGUUGAA